CGACCUUGUCUGCCAACGAAUCUG
rnacentral:siRNA from 1 species